AGAAUCGUGCGUAGAUUAGGAGAGCUGCCGGGUUUAACCAAUAAAACGACAACUCGCGAAACAUUACCAGG
rnacentral:tRNA from 1 species